GAGCUUGCUCCCUGAUGUUAGCGGCGGACGGGUGAGUAACACGUGGGUAACCUGCCUGUAAGACUGGGAUAACUCCGGGAAACCGGGGCUAAUACCGGAUGCUUGUUUGAACCGCAUGGUUCAAACAUAAAAGGUGGCUUCGGCUACCACUUACAGAUGGACCCGCGGCGCAUUAGCUAGUUGGUGAGGUAAUGGCUCACCAAGGCAACGAUGCGUAGCCGACCUGAGAGGGUGAUCGGCCACACUGGGACUGAGACACGGCCCAGACUCCUACGGGAGGCAGCAGUAGGGAAUCUUCCGCAAUGGACGAAAGUCUGACGGAGCAACGCCGCGUGAGUGAUGAAGGUUUUCGGAUCGUAAAGCUCUGUUGUUAGGGAAGAACAAGUACCGUUCGAAUAGGGCGGUACCUUGACGGUACCUAACCAGAAAGCCACGGCUAACUACGUGCCAGCAGCCGCGGUAAUACGUAGGUGGCAAGCGUUGUCCGGAAUUAUUGGGCGUAAAGGGCUCGCAGGCGGUUUCUUAAGUCUGAUGUGAAAGCCCCCGGCUCAACCGGGGAGGGUCAUUGGAAACUGGGGAACUUGAGUGCAGAAGAGGAGAGUGGAAUUCCACGUGUAGCGGUGAAAUGCGUAGAGAUGUGGAGGAACACCAGUGGCGAAGGCGACUCUCUGGUCUGUAACUGACGCUGAGGAGCGAAAGCGUGGGGAGCGAACAGGAUUAGAUACCCUGGUAGUCCAC
rnacentral:rRNA from 1 species